UACGAAGGGGGCUAGCGUUGUUCGGAAUCACUGGGCGUAAAGCGUAUGCAGGCGGGUCGCUAAGUCGGGGGUGAAAUGCCGAGGCUCAACCUCGGAACUGCCUUCGAUACUGGCGAUCUUGAGUCCGGGAGAGGUGAGUGGAACUGCGAGUGUAGAGGUGAAAUUCGUAGAUAUUCGCAAGAACACCAGUGGCGAAGGCGGCUCACUGGCCCGGUACUGACGCUGAGAUACGAAAGCGUGGGGAGCAAACAGG
rnacentral:rRNA from 1 species